AUUGAACGCUGGCGGCAGGCCUAACACAUGCCAGUCGAGCGGAUGAAGGGAGCUUGCUCCUGGAUUCAGCGGCGGACGGGUGAGUAAUGCCUAGGAAUCUGCCUGGUAGUGGGGGAUAACGUCCGGAAACGGGCGCUAAUACCGCAUACGUCCUGAGGGAGAAAGUGGGGGAUCUUCGGACCUCACGCUAUCGGAUGAGCCUAGGUCGGAUUAGCUAGUUGGUGGGGUAAAGGCCUACCAAGGCGACGAUCCGUAACUGGUCUGAGAGGAUGAUCAGUCACACUGGAACUGAGACACGGUCCAGACUCCUACGGGAGGCAGCAGUGGGGAAUAUUGGACAAUGGGCGAAAGCCUGAUCCAGCCAUGCCGCGUGUGUGAAGAAGGUCUUCGGAUUGUAAAGCACUUUAAGUUGGGAGGAAGGGCAGUAAGUUAAUACCUUGCUGUUUUGACGUUACCAACAGAAUAAGCACCGGCUAACUUCGUG
rnacentral:rRNA from 1 species